GUUCGCGUAACUCAGUGGUAGAGUGUGAGAUUGCAACGCUUAGGCACCGAUAAUGGUACUGAGUUUAUCUCGAAGCCCCGUGUUCGAACCACGGCGCGAACU
rnacentral:tRNA from 1 species